GGAUGAGCUCCCUGGUCUUGUUGAUUUCACCGUAGUGGUCAAGCUUAGUUCUAGACAAAAGCAAGAAGUUGAGAAAUUGAAGAAGAAGUGGGCUAGGAAAUUCAAGAGAAGUUCUGUUGGGAGUGCUGUUUAUAUGCACCCAAAUUUGUACAAUAUCUCUGAAAAUUCUGACUUGACUGAUGAUAAAAUGGAUGGGUUUUUGGAGGAAUUAAAUGUGAGAGACGGAGCAAAAUCAAAAUUCUUUCUUAAUAUGUUGAACUUAUGUGACUCAGCUGGGGAAAAGCUGUUGGUUUUCAGUCAGUAUCUGACACCAUUAAAAUUUUUGGAGAGACUGACAGUGAAAGUGAAGGGUUGGUUGCUGGGAAGAGAAAUUUUUGUGAUCUCCGGUGAAUCAAGUUCUGAUCACCGGGAGUGGUCUAUGGAACGAUUUAACAAUUCAACCGAAGCAAAAGUGUUCUUUGGAUCUAUUAAGGCAUGUGGAGAGGGAAUUUCUUUGGUUGGGGCAUCCCGCGUUCUUAUUUUGGAUGUUCAUCUGAAUCCUUCAGUUACUC
rnacentral:misc_RNA from 1 species